GCCCGGGAAGCGCUCCCGGGGCACGAAGGGAGCGGCCGAGGGAGAGUAAAAAUGCGAUAAUCAGAUUAUGCAGAAAAAUGAGAGCAAACUGUGAAGAUACCUGACUUACUUUAAAAUUACCACACUGGAUCUGUAGCAGACUUCUCCAUGAGACAGGAAUGUCUGCUUUGGAGUGUAUUUUGGAAGCCAUCCUCUUGCUUUAAUCCAGAGCCCUCUGAACUGUGCACUGCAAACACAGGGGAGAGCAGUUUCAGUCUAAAUUCUGGCUGCCACUGCAGCACCUGGAGCUAAAAAUCCACACAGAGGUGUACAGGUACCAAUGUGAACAGCAGCAGAGGACAGCUGUGCUAAGCACAGGCACAUCUGGCAAAACCUCAGAGUUCCAGCAGCAUCUCCACGUUUUCCCUGCAAUCCUAUUUCCACAAGCUCUGACAUAAAGCAAAGCUGUGGCAGCCAAUAACCUGUGGCACCUAACUGAACUUCAGGCUACUGAAUUACGGUGGAAGCAGUGUGGCAGUAUUUCCUACUUCUGCUUUUCCAGCAUGGCAGGCAUUUCUAGUCUUUCAGACUUUCAGCUCUGCCAGAAAACGUAGCUGCUAAUACACACCAGUUGUAUUAAAUUGGAAGAACAUCCCCUUAAGUGCUUAAGCUGAAUUCUGAAUGCAAAAGAAGCAAUACCAAACCCCAAUUAUCUUUUGAAAUAGUAAAUAAGAAAGCACUAAAUCCUUGGGGGAGGGGGUGGUAGAUCCUCCACUCUUUUAAAUGCUAAAGGAUGUUAUAUUUGAACUCUGAGCUAAACACAUGAGGGAUCUCUGAUGAUUCCCAGCACAGCUGGCAGGGCAGCAUUUGGUGCCAGGUCGGUGUAAUAAGGAACGGAGUGCUUUUUUUGUCAAAGGCUGGAACACGCUUAUAUUUCUUGUAACUUGUUACAAUUUUUAAGUUCUGUAACGGUUCAUGCAUUUUUGCCACCAUGAGUUCGCCCUCCUCAGACAUCUCUUCCAGGGAAGCUGAUUGCUGAGGUCCAGAUCUGGAUUUUUAAGUCCAGAAGUUUAAUUCCUGCUUUUGUGGCUUAUUUAUUUUCUAGAUGCCUGAAAUGACACAAUUCAGGUUGAGGAAGAACCAGAUAUGGUGUGAUACAUGCAAACUGUCAUAGAGUCAUCAGAGGUAGAGACAGUUUCUGCCAGCACACAGAACACUGCCCGGGAAGCACAGGAGGGUUUUCCACAUUAACAGAGGUGGUAGAGGUUGGUUUUAAGUCUUACCAUGAGCCCUGUGUUUUAUAACUUGGUAACAGUUUGAUCUCUGGCACAAACUAUUUGUCUCUCUUUAGUCUGUACAAAACUGCCAGUUAUAUGGGAACUGCAAAAUUCCACAAAUAGAGACCUUGGUUAGAAAAUCAGACUGCAGUCUGCUCCCUUAGCUGCAGAGGUUUAGCAAAAUUACGCUCCUAGGUAGUAAGUGCAAGAACAUUUCUCUCAAUUCCAGAAUUACUCUGCAUUUUCUGCCAGCUGUGGAAUUGAAGCUAGUGAAAAGCUGCUUUUCUGCAAUGGUCAAUACUCACUGUAAUAUUAUACAUGUAGUCUUUUAAGUAAGAACUGACAUUACUUUUAUACUACUUUUGCACAUUACAACUAAGUUUAACUUGAUUUUAAAAUAAUGUUUUAGAAAUGUGCUUUUAGCAGACUGGAUGUUUUAUGAAUAAAAACACCCUGUACUGGGGUGUUUGUCAUGAAGGAAAGAAGAAAGAAAGAAGAAGGAAAGAAAGAAGAAGAAGAAAAGGCUGUGGCUCCUGCUGCUGCUGCUCAGGACACCGGACUCUGUGCCAGGGAACAACUGCUGCUGCUGCUGCUGCUGUUCCUGCAUAGAACCUGGGACUCCAUGCCAGAGCCUCUAAGCCAGAGAGCAGCUGUUGCAGCUGCAGCUUUUGCUCCAUAUCAGAAAAUUUUUAGCAUGGACUUGAAUACUUAGAACUCUUUCCCUUCCAAACUGAUGUAUUCAUGCAAUAAACAACUUUAUAGCAAC